GAAGAUAUAGCUCAGUGGUAGGUCACAUGCUUAGCAUGCCUGAGGUCCUGGGUUCAAUCCCCAGUACCUCUA
rnacentral:tRNA from 1 species